CCUACGGGAGGCAGCAGUAGGGAAUCUUUCACAAUGGGCGAAAGCCUGAUGGAGCAACGCCGCGUGCAGGAUGAAGGCCUUCGGGUUGUAAACUGCUUUUAUAAGCGAGAAAUAUGAUGGUAACUUAUGAAUAAGGAUCGGCUAACUACGUGCCAGCAGCCGCGGUCAUACGUAGGAUCCGAGCAUUAUCCGGAGUUACUGGGUGUAAAGAGUUGCGUAGGUGGCAUAAUAAGUAGCUAGUGAAAUCUGGUGGCUCAACCAUUCAGACUAUUAGCUAAACUGGUAAGCUCGAGACCGUUAGGGGUAACUGGAAUUUCUAGUGUAGGAGUGAAAUCCGUAGAUAUUAGAAGGAACACCAAUAGCGUAGGCAGGUUGCUGGGACAGUUCUGACACUAAGGCACGAAAGCGUAGGGAGCAAACGGGAUUAGAUACCCGGGUAGUC
rnacentral:rRNA from 1 species